rnacentral:rRNA from 1 species
UGAACCAGCCAUCCCGCGUGCAGGAUGACGGCCCUAUGGGUUGUAAACUGCUUUUGUUUGCCAAGAAUGGUCCCGACGUGUCGGGAUUUGACGGUWGCAAACGAAUAAGGACCGGCUAACUCCGUGCCAGCAGCCGCGGUAAUACGGAGGGUCCAAGCGUUAUCCGGAUUCAUUGGGUUUAAAGGGUGCGCAGGCGGGYUUGUAAGUCAGUGGUGAAAUUUUGCGGCUUAACCGUAAAACUGCYAUUGAUACUGCAAGUCUUGAAUAUGGUUGAGGUAGGCGGAAUGUGUUGUGUAGCGGUGAAAUGCAUAGAUAUGACACAGAACGCCGAUUGCGAAGGCAGCUUACUAAGCCAUGAUUGACGCUGAGGCACGAAAGCGUGGGGAGCGAACAGGAUUAGAUACCCUGGUAGUCCACGCCGUAAA